rnacentral:lncRNA from 1 species
GAAUAUGAUAUGUAUAUUCAUUCUGGUGAACUGUGAUGCCACAGUUAAUAAAACCUGUCGGAUGACUAAACGAUGACACGUGUCAGUUUGAUCAUGCAUAAUUCCUUUUUCUUGUUCUCUCUCAGAUGUGGUUUUGACAGUCCUCUUCUCUUCUCUUUCUGUCUGUCUGUCGCUCUCACAGAGGAAACAUCACGCUGCCGAAGAUCCCCGAGUCUAACAUGGCUCUGAGCGUGUUAGGCGUGUUUCUGGGAUUGCUUCUGGAAGUUUCCACACACGGACCCUCCAGCGUUCCCAGAAGCUCAUGGAGGCACGACGAUGUGGAUCUGCUGGAGUUCUGGGAGCCGGAUGUGUUCAACUACACGACUCUCCUGCUGAGCGAGGAGCGUGGCGUGCUGUACGUCGGCGCUCGAGAGGCCGUCUAUGAGCUCAACAUGAGCAACGUGUCAAUCAAGAGUAACCAGGUGAGAGUUAUUACAGAGAGUGACAUGUCGAUGUGUAUUUUAAAGGGGAAAUCUAAAGAGACGGACUGUCGGAACUACAUUCGAGUUUUGCAAGUGCUGGAUGAAGACAGUCUGUAUGUUUGCGGGACUCACGCCUUUCAACCUCUCUGUGAUUAUCUGUCGCUGCAGGGUUUCCGAUUGCAGGACAGAGCAGAGGACGGCAGGGGGAAAUGUUCCUUCGACCCGGCCCAGAGCUUCACCACUGUGAUGGUCGAUGGCGAGUUGUACUCGGGAACGGCGUAUAACUUCCUGGGCAGCGAGCCGAUCAUCUCCAGAUCUUCUCUGUCUCAGAGUUUGCUGCGCACAGAGUAUUCAACGUCCUGGCUCAACGAGCCCAGUUUUGUCUUCGCCGAUGUGAUCCGAGAAGGACAGAACAGUCCGGAUGGAGAUGACGAUAAGAUCUACUACUUCUUCACGGAGGUGUCGGUGGAGUACGAGUUCUUCGGGAAGCUGCUGAUCCCCAGAAUCGCUCGCGUUUGUAAGGGUGAUCUGGGAGGCCAGCGGACGCUGCAGAAGAAGUGGACGUCGUUUCUGAAGGCUAAGCUGGUUUGCUCAAUGCCGGAGCUCAACUUUGUCUUCAAUGUGGUUCAUGACGUGUUUAUUCUGAAAGCGCCGCACUGGAGAGACACCAUCAUCUAUGGGGUCUUCACAUCUCAGUGGGGGAAUGUCGGUCUGUCCGCCGUCUGUGCGUAUAACAUGAGCUCAGUGCACGAGGUUUUCUCCAAAGGGAAGUUCAUGCAGAAGGUCACGGUCAUCACCCCGAGUCCCAGACCCGGAGCGAACAUCAACUCGUCCCUCCAGCUGCCCGAUAAGACGCUGCAGUUUGUGAAGGACCAUCCGCUGCUGGAGGACCCUGUGCUGCCCAUCGGAAACGGCCCGCGCCUCAUCACCAAAGACGUCAACUACACGCAGAUCGCAGUCCAGAGAGUGCAGGCGCUCGAUGGAAACAUCUAUGACGUCAUUUUCACCGGCACAGAUAAAGGUUUGCUGCAUAAAUCGCUGGUGUUGGAGGGCGAGGUUCACACGGUGGAGGAAAUCCAGCUGCUGAAGAACGCAGAGCCAAUUAAAACACUUCUACUCUCCUCACAAGUGGCGCGGUUCCUGUACGCUGGUUCGGACUCAGGUGUGGUUCAGUCUCCCACAGCGUUCUGUGAGAAGUACCUGUCCUGUGUGGACUGUGUUCUGGCACGGGACCCCUACUGCGCCUGGGACCCGCGCUCAGCCUCCUGCGUUAAUAUUUUCCAGCAUGAUGCUGAUCCACGGAAGUUGUUUCAGAGCCUCAAAGGGGAUGCUGGGAUAUGUCCUCCAGUCUCUCGUCUGGCGGUGGACGACUCUCAGCAGGUGCUGGUGAAGCCGGGUGCUUCUGCCGAUCUACCGUGUCCGGUGCGCUCAAACCUGGCUCAGGUGUUGUGGAAGCUCAACGGCCGCGUCCUGACCGAAGCCUCGCGCUUCCUCCUGCUGAGCGAGAACGGGCUGCUGAUCUACAGCGUGACGCCGGAGGAUGCCGGCCGCUACGAGUGCUGGUCCGUCGAAGCGUCCGCGGGAAAGAACUUCACCCGUCUGGUGGCGGCAUACACGCUUCGACUGGAGCUUCCCGAGAGCGUGCCGUCCAUAUCCGCUCUGCGUCCGUCCAGCGCCGCGUCCAUGGUCACACCGGCGGAAGGUAAUGACGGUAACGGCUCCGGACUAACGCCGGCUCGCACGGACGCGCCCUCACUAACAACCCCUCCCAGCAGUGCCAUUAAACCCAAAUCCUACAUCCCUCCGGAGGUCAGCAACUUACCGGCACGAACCGAGACGCUCGAUCCCUCGGCUAAAUACAUUCAGCACGACAGCAGCGUCGCCCUGCUGUCGCUCUUCCUGCUUUUCUUCCUGCUCUUCCUCGCCGCUCUGGCGUACAACUGUUACAUGCAGUACCUGCCGGCGCCGUGUCUCCGUCUGCGAUCCGCGCUGCUCGGCUCCAACAAAAAGCCGCAGCCGGAGUACGCAGCCUGUGAGGCCGGCCUGAUGGACCCCGUGCAGGAGAAGACGGAUCAGAAUGGAGCACAUCCGCUGCGUGCGCUCAGAGACACCGGAUACGAGACGGAACCGGAAUGCGGGAAUGGCGGAGUUCCAUCCGGCAGCGACGAGGACGCCGACGAUAGUCCCGUGAAAGAGCGGCCCUUCGAUGUAGACUGCACGUCGCAGCCGAUUGAAUACGCAGACGCCGACGCGCCGUUCUGAUGCUGGGUUUUUCACUCGCAGAAUUGCCGCAGCUCUGCAAGAAUCCAAAUAAGAUUCCAAAUUGGAAACAUUGUUUACCAAAUUGGUACGUUUCGUGAUGUUUUCCAAGUUGGAGCACCGGACUGUAUUUGAGUAUUUUUGUGGCUUUUAAUGUUCACCCUCAGAUCACACUGACUCAGUAUUUCUGUCUUGUUUUCAGUACAAAUAUCUAAACAUUGUUAAAUCAAGACACAUUUACUUGAUUAGGAAAAUG